CCAUCUCGGCCAUCUCGUGUCUAUAUGGAGUGCUAAAAACCCUGACCGUUCUCUCUUACCUCUCCCUGUGCUGAGGAUUUCGGAACAGUCGCAUCCCACAAUCACCAUUGCCACCGUGAGCCGAGGGGAGAGAUCGCCGCCACCGGUGUUCUUCAGAGUUCCCUAAUAGCCUGAACCCCGCCAACGGCGCCGGACCUCUCGUGGGUCACCAGAUAUCGAUACACGACAAAAUCGGGCGUAGUGGUGGAUUGGAACCUCGGAAAUUUCUCACCGUCGGGCGAGCACCGUCGCGGUCCGCCUGUUGCCAUGGUCAGCUCCUCUGCACACACACAAACCCGAGUCAGUCCCCAAUUCUCUAGAUCGCUAGGUUCUCCACAUCGCGUAGUAGGCCUCGUAGCGAAGAAUCGCAUAGUUAAUGGCCGUUUAGCGUGGCUCCAGUGAACACUACGGCCGCGCUGGUGGGCUGCGCCGCCAUCGUGUGGCGAGGUUGGUGAAGACGCCGCUCGGGCCGUAGAUCAGAAGACGGAUGGCUGAGAUUAGAUGCUAGGGUACCGGUUCGGUUAGUUUGAUCCUGACCGUAGCAUCUGAUCGGACGAGUCAGGCCGGAUCCGAAAUAAUUAAAUCCACACCGUUGACUGGUGAUCCGAGGGAUCUCGUUGCAUACCUGUUCGUCGUAGGUGGGAUCUAAUCCACGCCGCCCGCGCGAGAUCCAAUGGCCCGAUUUAGACGAUACCCCUUCGCAGUGCCAUUUUUCUAAAGAGCCCUCCCAUUUUUAGAAAACCAACCUGCAGUCCACUCGGGUUAUUCACUGAGUCUAGGAUAACUUACCAGCUAGCCCAUGCACUUCUCGGAAAUUGAUGUGCAGUCCAGAGGGAAAUAAAAUAGGAAAUUAAUUAUAGGAAUUUAUUUUAAAUACAAAAAUAAUUCUAGCAACUUGUAUAAUUCAUAAUAAAUUCAUAUGAACUCCAAAUUAACCCAUUCCAAUUUCUAAAAUUUUGUAAUAUUAUUGUUUAUCACCUAAUGUCUCUGUUUUGACAUGAAAACAGUAACAAAGUUUAUUUCUUAGUUAAUCUUGUAUCAAAUGCAUAAAACCUUUGGAAAUUCAUAACUUAAAAUCCAUAACUCCAAAAUUAAUGAUUCAUGUUCCUAGGAUCUUAUUUUAAUGUGUAGAUUAUUAUUAUGCAUUUUGUUUACAUGUUUGGUGUGAUGUUAAUUUUUGUUAUACUAUGUAUGUUUGUAUUGAUGCGUGUAGACGAGCAAGCUACUAAGGAUCCUGGUGCCCAGCAGAUAUAAGUUGCUGAGCAGGAGCUCAUUGAAGGCAAGUUGUGCCCUUGAUCACUUCCUUUUUACGCAGUCAUGUUCUUGUUAAUCAUAAUGAUCUACAUAGGUUAAUUUUGAUGGGAUCCAAUAGGGUACCCUAGUUUUGGCUAUCUUUAUACCUUGUUUUACCACUAAAUAGUUUUGGGUAGUAUAUGCUAUUGCUUUAUGUGGUUUUGGGUAUGGAGAUAUACAUCACUCAUUGUUACACUUUUGUUAUCAGUUAUUAUUUACCAUUCAUGAUAAGAUCAUUAUGUUAUUGGGAACAUGGAGAACCACCCGGGAAAACAGUGCUACCACAAGGGUGGUAUGGGACGCCCUUGGCUGAUUAACUAGGAAAGGUAGAGGAUGACUACCUUACCCCAAAGGGGCAAGGGCAGUAGGGGAGUGGUCAGUUAGGGAGGUCCUUGGGUUGAUUUUGUUGUGAUGGCGGUCAGGCGAGGGAUUUCUGUACUAGAGCUUCCUAGAAACUGUAGCGGUUUUUCUGAAGCUUGUGGAACUUUGUAAAGGCCUCGUAGUGGUACCAUGCCUCGCGCGCUUCCUUGGUAGAGAUGUACGGGGUUCGAUCAACCUCGUGGAAAAUGGAAAACACGACUUGUGGGCAAAGAUGCGGAACCUCUGCAGAGUGUAAAACUGGUAUACUAGCCGUGCUCACGGUCAUGAGCGGCUCAGACACUCACAUGAUUAAUAUAUGGAAUUAAAUUCAAUUUGUCAUUUGCAUCGCAUUAGGAUUAUUUUAUUAUUACUAAGAUUUGGUAUUUACUUACACUUAGUAAUUGCUAUUAAAAUGUUGACCAACUUAUAAAAGCAAUGCUCAGCUGAAACCUUUAUUUUAUUGAUCAGCUUUACACUUCACUUGAACUCCAACCUUUGGUGAGUUCAUGCACAUUAUUCCCCACAACUUGUUGAGCGAUGAACAUGUGUGAGCUCACCCUUGCUGUCUCACACCCCCCCACAGGAGAAGAACAGGUGGUUCAAGAGGAGCCACACAUCGAGGAGUUCGAUUCGAU
rnacentral:lncRNA from 1 species